rnacentral:rRNA from 1 species
GUGCUGGUAAUGAAUAUUGCAUGUGCACACUCUGGAGCUAUAUAAUAUAUACACCUGUGAACCAACUGUAGUCAGGAGAAAUCCUAACUAUGAUUACCCUAUAUAACUCUUAUUGUAUGUUACAUAGAACGAUCUCAUAUUGAAACUUUGUUUUCUGACAAGUUUCUCUUAAUUAAAAAUAUACCACUUUCCACCACCGAACUCUUGGCUCCUGGCUCCAUUAAAAACGCCACCAAAUGGCAUAAAUAAAGGGAAUUUGAGAAUCCCAUGGAUCCUCCAAUCCUUUAACGCCCCCUGGCCCCCUUGGGAUUUCCAAGGGGAUGGCCGGUUGAAAAUCCUUUAAUUCCCCACCCUACCAAUUUUUGGAUUUGGCAAGGGUUGGAUGGGAAAAUUGCUGGGUAGAAUAUAUUCCGAAUGGGUCUCUUUAAAACUAUUAAUAAGAACUGGAGAAAUGGCUACCGGUGGUGGGAAAAUAUGGCCACCCCUAUUCCGGAAGGGGAAUCUAGCUUGGAUGGACCACUUAAUAAAUCCUGCCCAUAUAUCUAGCAUAUUAAUGGCUAUUUUGGACAUUUGAACUCCAAUCCAGGAGGAAUACCCGCUGAACUUAAGCAUAUCCAUUAACCGAAGAAAAAAAACUAACCAGGGAUCCCCUAAUAACUGCCAAUGAAACCGGAAAAGCUCCAAUUUUAAAUCUGGGAAUCUCUGGCUGGCCCAAUUGGAAUCUGGAAAAAUGGUUUCUGUGGUGGGGCCUGGACCAGUCUCCUGGAAUAGAACGUCAUAGAGGUGAAAAUCCCGUCCUUGACACGGACUUCAGUGCUCUGUGAUGCACUCUCAAGAAUCCAGUUGUUUGGGAAUGCAGCUCAAAUGGGUGGUAAUCCAUCUAAGCUAAUAUUGGCAAGAGACCGAUAGCGAACAGUACCGUGAGGGAAGAUGAAAAAACUUUGGAAAAAAGUUAACAGUACGUGAAAUGUUGAAAGGAAACGCUUGAAG